CACAAACCUAAAGUGAAUACAUUUAAUAUAAUUAAAAAAUAAAAUAUUACAAAAUUAUAUCAAAAGAUUAGAAGUAUCUGAAGUCUUGCCAUAAGAAUGGUCCUGAAUAAAUGACACCACUCAGUCCUCUUUACCGUUCACUUUUCAGUAGAUAUGUAUUAUUCUAGACGAAGCAUACUAUUUGACUAAUCUUCAUAUAUCAAUCAGCAAG
rnacentral:lncRNA from 1 species